rnacentral:rRNA from 1 species
CCAGGAUUCUCCUAGUAACGGCGAGUGAACGGAGAUUAGCCCAUCACCGAAGCCUGCGUGUGUUUGCAUGCUAGGCAAUGUGGUGUUUAAGCUUGUACCUGGGAUCGUGUGCCUACCCGAAGUCUAAAUCCGAUUGUGGCUUUGGAUUCAUUCCAUAGCGGGUGAAAGUCCCGUGCGGGUAGGACUAUUGCAAUCUACACGAUCCUCAGAUGUGCAUGCUUUCGAGUCGGAUUGCUUGAGAAUGCAGUCCAAAGUGGGUGGUAAACUCCAUCCAAGGCUAAAUACUGGCACGAGUCCGAUAGUAGACAAGUACCGUGAGGGAAAGUUGAAAAGUACUCUGAAGAGAA